ACUCCUACGGGAGGCAGCAGUGGGGAAUCUUGCGCAAUGCGCGAAAGCGUGACGCAGCAACGCCGCGUGGGGGAAGAAGGCUUUCGGGUUGUAAACCCCUUUCAGUUGGGACGAAGCUUCGGCGGUGAAUAGCCGUUCGGAGUGACGGUACCUUCACAAGAAGCACCGGCUAACUACGUGCCAGCAGCCGCGGUAAUACGUAGGGUGCAAGCGUUGUCCGGAAUUAUUGGGCGUAAAGAGCGUGUAGGCGGCCCGACCAGUCCGCUGUGAAAGUCCAGGGCUCAACCCUGGAAUGCCGGUGGAUACUGUCGGGCUAGAGUCCGGAAGGGGCGAGUGGAAUUCCUGGUGUAGCGGUGAAAUGCGCAGAUAUCAGGAGGAACACCAAUGGCGAAGGCAGCUCGCUGGGACGUGACUGACGAUGAGACGCGAAAGCGUGGGGAG
rnacentral:rRNA from 1 species